rnacentral:rRNA from 1 species
UGGGGAAUAUUGGACAAUGGGCGAAAGCCUGAUCCAGCCAUGCCGCGUGUGUGAAGAAGGUCUUCGGAUUGUAAAGCACUCUAAGUUGGGAGGAAGGGCAGUAAGCGAAUACCUUGCUGUUUUGACGUUACCGACAGAAUAAGCACCGGCUAACUCUGUGCCAGCAGCCGCGGUAAUACAGAGGGUGCAAGCGUUAAUCGGAAUUACUGGGCGUAAAGCGCGCGUAGGUGGUUCGUUAAGUUGAAUGUGAAAGCCCCGGGCUCAACCUGGGAACUGGAUCCAAAACUGGCGAGCUAGAGUAGGGCAGAGGGUGGUGGAAUUUCCUGUGUAGCGGUGAAAUGCGUAGAUAUAGGAAGGAACACCAGUGGCGAAGGCGACCACCUGGGCUCAUACUGACACUGAGGUGCGAAAGCGUGGGGAGCAAACAGG